AGCAGCCGCGGUAAUUCCAGCUCCAAUAGCGUAUAUUAAAGUUGUUGCAGUUAAAAAGCUCGUAGUUGAAUUUCGGGGCCAGUAGGUUGGUCGUGCCACUGGUAUGCACUGGCCUCACUGGUCCCUCCUUCUUGUAGAACCGUGAUGGCAUUAAUUUGUUGUUGCGGGGAAACAGGACUGUUACUUUGAAAAAAUUAGAGUGCUUAAAGCAGGCUCGCGCUUGAAUACAUUAGCAUGGAAUAACGAAAUAGGACGAUCGAACCUAUUUUGUUGGUUUCUAGGAUCGACGUAAUGAUUAAUAGGGAUAGUUGGGGGCAUUAGUAUUCAAUUGUCAGAGGUGAAAUUCUUGGAUUUAUUGAAGACUAACUACUGCGAAAGCAUUUGCCAAGGAUGUUUUCAUUAAUCAAGAACGAAAGUUAGGGGAUCGAAGACGAUCAGAUACCGUCGUAGUCUUAACCAUAAACUAUGCCGACUAGGGAUCGGAUGAAGUUAAUUUUUUAAUGACUCAUUCGGCGCCUUA
rnacentral:rRNA from 1 species